GAAGAACCUCACCAGCACUUGACAUCCGACUAAUGAAGUAGAGAUACAUUAGGUUUCCUUCGGGGAAAGUAGAGACAGGUGGUGCAUGGUUGUCUUCAGUUGGUGUCGUGAGAUGUUGGGUUAAGUCCGGCAACGAGCGCAACCCUUUCCAUUAGUUGUUACGCAAGAGCAUUUUAAUGGGACCGCUACGGACAAGGUGGAGGAAGGUGGGGAGGACGUCAAAUCAUCAUGCCCCUUAUGUGUUGGGCUACACACGUAAUACAAUGGCCUUCACCAAAGGGAAGCAAUACCGGGAGGUGGAGCAAAAUCUCAAAAAUGGUCUCAGUUCGGACUGCAGGCUGCAACUCGCCUGCACGAAGUUGGAAUUGCUAGUAAUCGCGGAUCAGCA
rnacentral:rRNA from 1 species